UGUAUUUUUUCAUUUUCUAUAAAGUGUCGCGAAAAACAGGUUACGAAUAUUAUUAUGAAACAAAGGAAAGGCGAUUUCCGGUUUCCGCUUCCUGCUGCCAAAUUUGUUUGAUCACGUUUUUUGGCCGUUGGAAAGUUCUCCCAAACUUCGCGUUUUUAAAAUAAGUACAGGCAUAUUUUCGCGCGUUAUAUAACAAUAUCGUGCGUAUAAACACAACGCGCGUGAUGAAGCGAGCCAUGGAAAUCUCUCAUGGCGAUGCUUUUUCGUGCCGAAACGCACAAACAGUUCGCGAGUGAAAUCGCAAUUGCGGCUAAGUAGUAUGCAGCGCCCAUCCGACACGAAAAACGGAGGAAAACGAAGACAGAAUUAAUUGCGACUGACGAAAUAAAAUCGACGGGGUUUCAAGAGGAAGCGAAGCCGCGAUCUUCCGCCUACCGUCGAUAGCUAUUACAUACGCAUACAAAGGAAGACACCAUCGCGAAAGGAGAAAUAUCUUUUGGAAACGGCCACUUUCAAUCAUCGACGCGACUGGGAUCUCGUACCUCAACGGGUGGCGCGACGAUCCAGGACUCGGAAGCCCUCCUGGCCAUGAGGGCUGGACUGCAGAGCAACGCCUCCUCCUCCUCAUCCGGUUCCGAAGACCAGAACAUCUUCCCGGCACGUGUAUUACAACAAUCACUUAUCGCGUUAUCAGUGGUGGUGACCCAUCGGGUGGUGCCGGGUCACCACCUACGAGACUAGCGAUGUGAAACGGAGAACUUUUGUUGUUUAUGUGCAGUGGAGGCCAGGCCGCAGACUGAACGUCCCCGCGCUCUAGCGCCUUCUCUCUCUCUCUCUCUCUCUCUCUCUCUCUCUCUCUCUCUCUCUCUCUCUCUCUCUCUCUCGCGCGCGCGCGCCUGCGACGGAAAUAGAAGAGUAUUUUCCCCUCUCUAUCUCGCGGCCCCGGUGAAGAGUAUACCUGAUGAUCAUGAUGCUUGAUUCACCUGAUUAAUGGGCUGUGGGUACACAAUGGCAUUGAUACCGUUGGAGCGAGACGAAAACAAGACGCAAGACUGAAUGCUUCUCUCUGCGAUAAUUUUAAAGAAGACGAGUGCCGUGCAAAGUUUGAAAUUGAAGAAGAGAGCUUACGGCGGAAUUGAUAUGAGAAAAAGUGAACUGUCAAGAAUGUAAAAUCGGAGAAGACGAAGAUUAAGUUUGGAGACAGAAAGAAUCCUAACUCAAACGCCCACCGAAGAACCAAGAGACAUUUUCCACUUGACCAAAUCGAGCAGUGCAUCGUCGCGUGUCAACGAGCGCGGCAAUUAGUGCUUCCGUGCAAAUAAUCGGCGACUCAUCUACCGAACAACCUGGUCCCGGACCCCAGCGAGGCUUCGCGAGAAUUAUUUUGGGAGCUCCGAAAUAUCGCCGAUUGUAGAGCUACUGCUGCUGUCUCUGCUUCGUCUUACACUUGUGCGUGUAUCGUUGUCCUCGCGCAAAUAUUUGGCACGCGGAUUACCCCCGAACGAACGAACCGAUCGAAGGGCGGGGACGGCUGCUUCUCUUUUUUCGAGACACACGUAUCGUAUUGUUCGACAAUGUUAUUUUUGCGCGAGCUCCCCGUCUCUUUCUGUUGUGAGCUUUUUACUGCGUGUAGAAUUUGCCCGAUGCAACAUCUGAGUUUAAAGUUUGUUUUUAUUUGAGACGCCGGCGACUUACUUCCUUACGUCGAAUGGUUAUAAAUAAUUUUCUUAAAAAUGAGAAAAGAAUAGAAUAUUUUUAAAUCCACGAUAGAAUUCAAAUCUGAACCGUUUUUACGAUCGACGCUCCCCAUUAGAACCAAAUGCAUUUAUAAUUGAUCAUUCUUCUUGUGUGCAUAUAAAAAGGUUUCGAUAUAAAGCAUGAGACACAAUAUAGAUCUAUAAACUGUCUGGAUAA
rnacentral:lncRNA from 1 species